GUACACGACCAACUAAUCCAGACAACGGAGCUUACAGCACAGGGGACUUCACCGCUGUACAGAAUACGCUGACUUUAACUUGUGACUGUGGAUACAUGGCUUAUGGUUCUACCACAGCAAUAUGUGGAGAAGACGGCCAAGUGACAGAUGUGAAUGGUACAUGCAGCCGAAUCUGUACACGACCAACCAAUCCAGACAACGGAGCAUACAGUACAGGGGACUUCACCGCUGUACAGAAUACACUGACGUUAACUUGUGAUAGUGGAUACCAAGUCUAUGAUUCUCCUACAGCAACUUGCGGAGCAGACGGCCAAGUGACUGGUGUGAAUGGUACAUGUGCCCGAAUCUGUACACGACCAACCAAUCCAGACAAUGGAGCUUACAGCACAGGGGACUUCACCGCUGUACAGAAUACACUGACGUUAACUUGUGACAGUGGUUUUCAGGUUCAUGGUUCUCCUACAGCAAGUUGUGGAGCAGAUGGCCAAGUGACUGGU